rnacentral:sRNA from 1 species
AAAGUGUUUCAAAAUCGUAAUGAACAAAACAAAUAUUGUACAAUCGUUAUUAAACUUGUUCUCAUGGGGUGUGUCCAAACUUUGACUUGGUAAAACUUGGUAUGUUAAGAAUCAUGUUUUAUAUCAUCCUUUAGCCAGCCACACAAAGAUGUAUAGAAGUUUAGCAACUCAAUCUGUUUGACGGGGCGGAUCGGCUAUAUGGGCGACCGGUGGGGUCGCUGAAUGGGCUGCUUUGAAUCACAAUAAGUACCGUAAAGUGUGAUUGGUAUUUUACAUUCCAUACAAGAACCCAGAGACGUAACUGCGUAAUGCUAAAAACAUUACUUAGAUCUAUAUUCAUAGACCAUGCUACUGGGGAUUUACAAUCUUCUAUAUACACUAAGCGAUUUAAAAAACAUCAACAAAGGGUUUACAUUUUGUAUAGUCCUGUAGAAGUUGCCUGAGUUUGAACGUAAUAAUAAUUGUAUUAUCCAUGAGUCUAUAAUGAGACGCUGGGCUUAUAAAUUAGUAACGAAUUUCCGCCCCUGUCUGUAAUGACACAUACUGUGAAGACCUUAAAGUGAUCUGUUGUGAAUGCCUGUGGUCUAUUUAUAGUGCCGAGACUCAUCGCUUUUCUUACGCUGUUUACAGCUUCACGUGACAUGCUUUGGCCCGAUACCAAACGAUGACCUAGUCUUUCUAAUUGUAUUGUCGGUUUUUUUUUUUUUUCUUUUCUAGCUCGACCAGAUGUAAUAGAACUGUGCUCUUCAGUCAGACAUUCAAUACCACUGUAGACAGUGCACUGUUCAACUACAGUCAUGAAUCUCUCUUCGUUUUUUGCGCAAGCUCAGUGAAGCGUGACAUAUAACCUGUGUCACGCCAAUCACCUGAUACUGUAUAGAUUAUAUUGAUUGACGCACGCCAUUAUCGAUCUAUUAGUCCAGCGUUUUGAUCUUAGUGCAGUUCUUUUUAGUAUUGUUAUUAUUACAUGCAAUUUUGUAAUACCACUUUUUCGUUGAUAAUUUCUAUAUGUAUUAAGUAAUUUUAGUCAUAUUCUUAAAUGUAACUAGGGUAGGAAUUUAAGAAAGCUAAUAUAUUUCAUAAGUUUUUAGAUGAUUUGAAUAGGAUAUGGCCAAAUAAGUGUGAAUGCCACCCAGAGAUCUAUUCCACUGACCGCUUUUCAAAAUGACCCUCCUCAAAAAUGUGGUGGAAAUGAGAAAGAGAGGAGACUCUAGGGUUUGGCUCAAAUAGAUUUUUCAGCCGCCCAUGCCCCGAAACCUCGCUGGACCCAAACACCAUUGCCCGCUCCGUUAUCUCCGCAAAGCUCAUGUGUGUCUGGUGCAUGUGAACUGGUUGAAAGGUGAAGCUCGAAUUGAUUUUAUUUAAAAUCAACUGCACUGUCAAACAUAACGUCACCAUCGAUUUUUGUAUAUGGAAAUGCCAUGACCUCAUUGUUCUAGUCAGGUCAUAUGUCGGCCUAUUGGCAGCGGUGUUCCACACACAGGCCAACCCAAGACUUCAACCACACAAUCACCUUUAUGUUAACGUGUGCUGUAUGUCGCUUGCUAGAAGACUAUUGAUUCAGUACAUUUUUUUUUGUUACCUAAGGAUAAAGCAAACUAUUAUUCUUGACUUGUUCUGAUGUGUGCUGUUUAGUUGGGGUCUUGAAAACAUAGACCCACUAAAGUGCUCUCUCCCGAUUCAUUCAUCGAUUUUCUAUUGACUGAUUGAUUUUUUGGUGGUGUGUUUUUUCUUAUUUUCUUCCAAUCUCUUCUUGUUUCCUUUGGAUAAUACCAACAAAUCUUCCUAUCUGAUGAUCAACGCUUAUCGUUCUAGAAAUGUUAUAAACAGUAAAUCGCUCAAUUUAUAUUGAGUGUUCAAUCUGACAUAUUAGUUAGAAGUAUUUGUCAAUUGCAAUUACAAGGAAAAUGACAGAAACACAGUUUGGACAAGGGUGGAGAAACCUGACUAGCCUGGCGUCACCUGACAACACGAAUGUGACUGAAAGCCACCUUAACUUUACGUUCGAGACCUCCACCUACAACGUCUCCUUUAAUAUUACUAAUGGGACCACGACAGCAAUGUCCUCAAGUGAAAAGGACGUUCAGGAUUUCAUUAUUGGUCUCUGUCUCGCCAUCGGGUCAGCCAUGUUGACCGGAGGAAGCUUCGUCUUUAAGAAGUUGGGACUGUUAAGAUAUGAAAAGAAAGAGGCGUCAAGGGCAGGUAAGAAAGCUCAACAGCAGUUUUUUCUUAACCACUUUCACCUGCACUGUUCACCACUUUCAUUUUACCCUUAGUCUGUUGAACCGUUGUGGCACCAUACAAGCUCGGCUGAACAUAUUUCUCCAUUCCUCUUUCUUUAGCCUUGGAUAAUACAGCAAUUAGACCCAAAGAUGACAUGCUAACCAUUGUUAAAAACAAAACAAAACAAAAAAAACCAUACUUAAGCUCUAUGGCCACAUCACAAGGUCCUCAGGGCUCGCAAAGACCUUCAGGAUACAGUACCAGGAAAAAGAAGCAGCAGCAUCAAAGGCAAACGACUGUGCAACUGGCUGUACAAUUUCGCUGUGACACAUUGUUUUGUAUUGAGCUCCACCAUUAUGCAGUACAUUGUUAUUUACUUUUGCUGUAGCUGUUCUGUUACUAUAGAGAGGUUAAUUAUGCAGACUAAUAAACACAAUGAAUUAA